UACGUAGGGGGCUAGCGUUGUCCGGAUUUAUUGGGCGUAAAGAGCUCGUAGGCGGCUUGUCGCGUCGGAUGUGAAAGCCCGGGGCUUAACUCCGGGUCUGCAUUCGAUACGGGCAGGCUAGAGUUCGGUAGGGGAGAUCGGAAUUCCUGGUGUAGCGGUGAAAUGCGCAGAUAUCAGGAAGAACACCCGUGGCGAAGGCGGCUCUCUGGGACGGUACUGACGCUGAGACGCGAAAGCGUGGGGAGCGAACAGG
rnacentral:rRNA from 1 species